rnacentral:rRNA from 1 species
UACGGGGGGAGCAAGCGUUGUUCGGAUUUACUGGGCGUAAAGGGCGCGUAGGCGGUCAGCACAAGUCAGUUGUGAAAUCUCCGGGCUUAACUCGGAAAGGUCAACUGAUACUGUGCGACUAGAGUGCGGAAGGGGCAACUGGAAUUCUCGGUGUAGCGGUGAAAUGCGUAGAUAUACGGAGGAACACCAGCGGCGAAGGCGGGUAGCUGGGCCAACACUGACGCUGAGACGCGAAAGCUAGGGGAGCAAACGGG